CAUGAGUUUUAUCUGAAAUACGAUCAUUUCAAAGAUUUUUGAUCAGAAAAUAAAAUAGUCAUAUCAAAACACUCUAUUCAGGUGAUUGUUCCACUUGGGAACUAAAAUGAUAAACCAGACAGGUAGUUUACAUUUAACUGGCCUUAUCAACACAGUAAUACUUUAUUACCUACAUUAUCUACCUGUAGCCUUUAUCUCACCACACAAGCUGAUUAGCAGGUCUACCAGUGAAUAGCCUCUGCCAAGUUCCCAACAACCUGAUAUUCUGGUUUUCAGAGGAAAUGGAAAGAGAGCCUGUGAGGGAUUCCAGUAGUGUCCUUUUUUCUCAGGUUGUUCAUUUUGUGGCCUAAUCAAAGAAACAGCAGAUACUGCCAAAUGAUUAGUUAAAACAUUUCAUCAAAUACCUUUUUGGAAUAUGUCUUGACAUUUUUAAUUAUACAAAUGAUCUAUGUUUCCAACCCAAAUAUGAAUAGCAACUACCGCUCUAUCAUUUAUUUCAGUUUCCUCCCUAUUUUAUCCUAUCAAUGCUUAGCAACAUUCCGCUUAUAAUUGGAGAACAAUAUCAGUACUUUUUCAGUGAUCUCCUGUGGUGCGUUGAUUCUUGUCUCAAAAAUAGGCUUCAUGUCACGGUAAUAGUAGACCCUGCGCUAAUGUUUGGAGUUGAAGUGGGUACGGAAACAGAAAGGACCCUAAGAAAUGGAACAAAUACUCUACCACCAUUAAGAAACAAGAAGGAAUUUGGGCCGGAUCAACAACCUCUCCCUCAAUGUCAGUAAGACCAAAGAGCUGAUCGUGGACUACACAUAGACGGGGCUCUGCCUUUUCACUGUACUCUUUUUCUUGCAUGUUAUCGCUGCUAAGACUGGUGUGUCUUUGUGCAGUGCUGGGAUACUGCUCUGUAGUUGCUGAUCGGAGUGACUAGGAAUCGGUGGGAAGUCAAUGCCACACCCACGUCGAGUCCCUCAAGGCUGAAGUCAGUGACUGUGUAUAUGUGUGUCAGAUUGGCUACCAUGGAGAUGGACUACUGGGUGAGGACAUUGACGAGUGUGUUACUGGCCUCCACGGCUGCCACUCAAAGGCACAUUACACAACACAGCAGCUGUGCGUGUCUGGAUGGCUACCUCGGCGACAGAGUUCAAUGAAAGGACAGCGACAAAUGCCAGACUACUGACCUCUGUACGAAUAGAGGAGGGCAAGUACAUAAGCGGCUUCAAUGGAAAUGGGUUUCAAGUGCACAGACAUUGACGAAAUGCACAAAACGUGGCAUCUGCCAUGGGAAUGCCGCCUGUCACAUCGACGUGGCUGUAGUGGAGCGGGUUGAGAGCUUCUCGGUGUCCACAUCACUAAGGACCUAUCAUGGUCCAAACACACCAACACAGUCGUGGAGAAGGCACGACAACACCUCUUCCCCCUCAGGAGGCUGAAAAUAUUUGGCAUGGGCCCUCAGAUCCUCAAAAAGUUCUACAGCUGCACCAUUGAGAGCAUCUUGACUGGCUGCAUUACCGCUUGAUAUGGCAACUGCUUGGCAUUCGACUGCACGGCGCUACAGAGGGUAGUGUGUACUGCCCAGUACAUCACUGGGGCCGAGAUCCCUGCCAUCAAGGACCUCUAUACCAGGCGGUGUCAGAGGAAGGCCCUAAAAAUUGUCAGACUCCAGCCACCCAAGUUAUAGACUGUUUUCUCUGCUACUGCACGGCAAGUGGUACCAGAGCACCAAGUAUGGGAGCAAAAGGCUCCUGAACAGCUUCUACCCCCAAGCCAUAAGACUGCUGAACAGUUGAUCAAAUGGUCACUGACUAUUUACAUUGACCCCCUUUUU
ensembl:lncRNA